AAAGCUUCAUGUGGUGGGGAACACCUCUCUCAAAGCCUGACAUGCCAAUAUUUUAAUAGUCAUGGGGGAAUUGUAACAUAUAAAUUCUUUGUUAGGAAAGGAAAAAAAAAAGCAUUGAAUUAUCAUCUCUCAUUGCACACUAGGAGGUAAAUCCUGCCUCAGUGCUGGCCAGCCUGCCCUGAACUUUGGUAGAUAAUUCUGGUAGUGGCACUCUGCACAGCCUCGUUUCCCUGCACAGAAAAAUAAAGCUGCUGCUUUUUAUGCAGCUUGGCAAACUUUAUUGAGAGGGCACUAGGGGAGAACAAACCACAGUUUUUAUGAGCUCCCACCUUAGAGCAGCCCAGGCACAUUAGAGCUCUGUUAAGUCAACUAGAGGUCUUUUGAUACCAAAGAGCUUUGAAUCCAAGUGCCUGGAGAGAAAUUAUACAUUGAAUAAGAAAGAAAUG
rnacentral:lncRNA from 12 species